UAAAAAAGGCUCCAGAGACGCAGCUGGCGAUUACAGACCACUAAGGCUAACUUCAAUACCAGGCAAAUUGGGUGAAAUUGUAGAGCCCACUUAUUAGAAACAUAGCUAAAGAGAAUUUGUUGGUUGGAGUGUGGUGGCUUCUCUCU